rnacentral:rRNA from 1 species
AUUGAACGCUGGCGGCAGGCUUAACACAUGCAAGUCGAGCGAGCGGCGGACGGGUGAGUAAUGUCUGGGAAACUGCCUGAUGGAGGGGGCUAACUACUGGAAACGGUAGCUAAUACCGCAUACCAUCAGAUGUGCCCAGAUGGGAUUAGCUAGUAGGUGGGGUAAUGGCUCACCGAGGCGACGAUCCCUAGCGGGUCUGAGAGGAUGAGCAGCCACACUGGGACGGAGACACGGUCCAGACUCCUACGGGAGGCGGCAGUGGGGAAUAUUUGACAAUGGGCGCAAGCCUGAUGCAGCCAGGCCGCGUGUAUGAAGAAGGCCUUCGGGUUGUAAAGUACUUUCAGCGGGGAGGCGUUACCCGCAGAAGAAGCACCGGCUAACUCCGUGCCAGCAGCCGCGGUAAUUC